AGAUAACAAUUGGUAUAUUUACGACUUGCAACAAAAACAAGUCAUUUCGAAGAAAAAUAGAAAACAUUAUUGCUUAGUUACAGCAGGGAGCACAAAUCAGUACAAGUUUGUGAAUCGUGUAUUUCUUUCUGCAUAAGAAUAGUUGAGCAAAUAAAAUUUAAAAAUAUUUUUUCCUUUAGUUCAUAUUCAAUUAUUAGCAAAAUUGUUAAUAAUACAAAAAGAAAAUAACAAAUUCUAAGGAAAAAAGAAAUAAAACUGAAACAAUUCGCAUGUACUCAAUUAUGCACCGGUUGCGGUUUCAAUAAAAAAUAUCAAAGUAAAAAUAUUGAGGACAGUAUUAUAGCCAGGAUCUUCCACACGAACGAUAGCUAAAAAAGCAUGAAAUAAGUCCAUCAGUGGUCAGAGGAGUUCAGAAAAGAUACCUAUUGUUCCCAAAGCACAAGUCAGGGGCCGCAAAAAAGUUUUGGCGGAUGCAGACACAUUUAUCAUGAUAAGACAUAUGAAAAGGAACAAGCCCUUGACACCAAAGAAUGCAUUUAUAGAAAUAAAUAAGCCUGUUAGUAGAUGGAUUGCAAGAAGAGCGCUCUGUGACAUUGAUUAUAUGACAGCGGCAAGAAGACAAAAACCUGCAUUGUCAGUAAAAAAUGUUAAGGCCCGGUUGAAGUUCGCCAGAGAACAUAGAAAUUGGACAGCAGAAAUUGGAAGCUUGUAAUCUGGUCAGACGGAUCAAAAUUCUGUCGACUCGGCAGAAUUCUGUCGCUACAACAACAACAACAACGGAUCAAAAUUUAAUCGUUUUUAGUCCUAUGGCAAACAUUAUUGAUACAACGCCCUCACGCUUCAUAUGUGACAUGUUGCACCUCUGCAAAAAAUCAAUGAAAUAAUGUGUGAAGAAGACCAUCUGUAGACAGUACCCCGAUCGGACUUAGGACGCAACGAACUAUAGACAUCACUGACCGCUAAGUGAAUGGCGUACUAGGAGUCAAACCACCACCCAUAGCAGACGUAGAGCUCGAGUUGCCUCGCGAAACCAGAGUGACCCUCGAGCAACUUCGUUCUGGAUAUUGUAGCAGGUUAAACUCCUACUUAUCCAGAAUAGACUCCGAUAUUCCAAGCAUAUGUCCUGCGUGCAAUGAGUCUCCGCAUGAUACUAACCACCUCUUUGCAUGCCCAACAAACCCAACUCAUCUAACACCCUUUUCCCUAUGGUUCGACCCCGUCGAAACAGCUAGUUUCUUGAGCCUCCCGUUAGAUGACCUCGACGACAACCAAACUAUUACUUAUCAUCCAAGCGGGGACUAGAUAACCGUUACAACAACAACAACCAUCUGCAUAUUUUGCAGACCUAUAUACCCGAUUUUGUGGAAAGCACCCUAUCUUAAAGUAGAAGUCAAAUUUCAAUAGUAACGGCUUGCCGAACAACAAUUCUUACUGAUGCAGUGGGCCGCCCAAAGUUGUAAUUUCAAUCCAAUUGAGAAUUUGUGGUUAAUCGUGAAAAGGUUAGAAAAAUAUUGAACAACCCCAAUGAAUCUGGAUGAGCUUUGGCAGCGGGAAUGGCAUAGCAUUCCAAAUGAAAUUAUAAAAAAUUUGGUGGAAAGUAUGCCAAUGCAUGUAAAAAAAAAGUGUUUUGUGUGAUAAAGGGUUAUAGACUUAAUAUUAGGAAUUAUAUAUUAUCUAAAAAAUUUCUGUAAGGUGCAAAAUUGAGUACAAGCGAGUUGUUUCAGUUUUAUUUGUUUUUUCUUCGAACUUGUUAUUUUCUUUUUGUAUUAUUAGCAAUUUGGUUUAUAUUUGAACAUAAACUAAAAGGAAAAAAAUAUUUUUAAAAUUUCUUUGCUACUUACUUAUGCUGCAUAUACAGAAAGAAAUACACGUUACACAAACUUGUACUCAAAUAUGCUCCCUACUGUACAUGGAUACCUCCACUAGUUUCUUCCAUUGUGCGUACUUAUAAGGCCACUGAUGAUUGUCAAUUACAAUUUGGAUUCAACUAUAAUAUUUGUCUCUUAUGGCCAUUAAUUCGUCGUAAAAUAGUAGUACUAAUGUAGAAUGCGGUGCGAUGCGCAAAUAGUUUGGCCAAAAUCCUUUGUAUAAACCAAGCAAACCCUCGGUGCGCACAACCUUAACCACGCAAUCAAGCCAACCAUUGUAAUAUAUACCUUUGCCACUGGCAUCAACUCCCUGAUUGUAAAGACGAGUGGUUAACACAUCAGGUGGUGUUAUAGCCAAUGACAUAAUAGUGCCGGCAAUACCGCCGGCACAGAAGGAAUUCAAUGUGGGUUGCGUCACCCAGCCAUUGUCGCGUAACCUAGACUUCGUUAUGCCAAAAGUGGCAAUUUGAGCGCCGGAGCCUAAAGCUGCUCGUGGUACAGCCGCCAUUGAACCUCGCCAUAAACCAGUAAUACCACGCUCAGCAUAGAUUUGGCUCAACGCUUGGAAAGUGCCGGUGUGCUUAUGUUGGUAGCCAACGGCUAUAGCUUUAGCAGCUUGUGAUUGCAAUUGCGUUUUUAUCUGAAAUAAUUCAUACAGUAUUAGAUAUAAUUACAUAAGUGAAAUUUUUGUCUUAAAUCAUUUAUAUGCGUAAUUAAUUUUCAUGUGAUGAUAUGUGAAUGGAUUUACUUCUUAUAACUCUA